UCUUCUGCACCAUGGACAUGAAAGUCUGUCUGUUGAAGAAACACCUGGGAUUAAACACCUGGAUGUCUACCUGCCGCGGGUCAUCGUUAAAAACUGCUGUUAAAAAAAAAAAAGUUAAUGUUGAGUGAGUCGUCAGGACAAAAUGGCGGACCGCUAGUUUGUCAGGGAAGCCGUUAUUUUGCUUGCCGUUAUUUGAAGAGGAUGAUAUCUGUUAAAGAAAGACUUUAAGGAGCUCAGGCAUCUUUAUGAGAGGAUUUCAAAACAUGGAGGCAGAAGAAGGACGCGAAAACAAAAUGGACAGCUCCUUAAGGAGGACAGGACUUGUUUUUGGCGACACCGCCGUGUUUCCAGAACUCAGCAAUUAACUUGUUCAACAGUCGACAACAAAAUGGCCGCAGCAAAGGAGUGAAACAUAUUCAUGCCAAGGCUUUGUCUCUGAAGGUCUAUAGAUCAUGUCCUCGCUCUCAAUCCCAUGAUGUUUCCU